rnacentral:rRNA from 1 species
UAGAGUUUGAUCAUGGCUCAGAUUGAACGCUGGCGGCAGGCUUAACACAUGCAAGUCGAGCGGAGAUGAGGUGCUUGCACCUUAUCUUAGCGGCGGACGGGUGAGUAAUGCUUAGGAAUCUGCCUAUUAGUGGGGGACAACAUUCCGAAAGGAAUGCUAAUACCGCAUACGUCCUACGGGAGAAAGCAGGGAUCUUCGGACCUUGCGCUAAUAGAUGAGCCUAAGUCGGAUUAGCUAGUUGGUGGGGUAAAGGCCUACCAAGGCGACGAUCUGUAGCGGGUCUGAGAAGGAUGAUCCGCCACACUGGGGACUGAGACACCGCCCAGACUCCUACGGGAGGCA